UACGUAGGGCGCAAGCGUUAUCCGGAAUUAUUGGGCGUAAAGAGCUCGUAGGCGGUUUGUCGCGUCUGCCGUGAAAGUCCGGGGCUCAACUCCGGAUCUGCGGUGGGUACGGGCAGACUAGAGUGAUGUAGGGGAGACUGGAAUUCCUGGUGUAGCGGUGAAAUGCGCAGAUAUCAGGAGGAACACCGGUGGCGAAGGCGGGUCUCUGGGCCAUUACUGACGCUGAGGGCGAAAGCGUGGGGAGCGAACAGG
rnacentral:rRNA from 1 species